rnacentral:lncRNA from 1 species
UACAUUUUAUUAUAUACUGUAGACAUGAGAAUGGAAAAAUUAUGAUUGUGAACGUUGUUUUAUAAAUAACUUCCUAACAAACUUUUGAUGAAGAUUGAAUCAGUUUACUAUGAUUUUGUUUACGUUCUCGUUUACAAUCUAGUUGCAUCGUGUUAGAUUUCGCCAUUUCGGAAUGUAACGCAUUCUGGGUAAUAUUUUCAAAAGUAAACACCAAAACGUUGUGAUUAGUGAAAGACGUUAUAUACAAUAGAAAUCCAACUAAUGACGUCACGUUAUUUUUAUUUUGGUAUACGAACAAUGAAAUUACCCAUAGUCUUUUGAAUUCUGAAAAAGCGAAAUUGAUAAUUAAUUGUAAAUAACAGAAAAUAUUUAAAUCAUGCGAACACAAAAAGUGUUGUUUUUUAUCACCACGCUGUGAGUAAAGUAAUUGUAAUCACGUAUAUAAUCCCCGACCCUAGAAAUACAAUUUAAACUUUCCAUUUAUAUGUUAAGUGUGCCUUUGACGAAGGGAGGAAUAAAUGUUUUUGGACAGCAAUUAAUAACAUUUAUUUACAAAGAAUUAUUAUUUUGUGACUAAGACCUUCUUUACUCUUUAUAUGGAUUUUAAAAUGUGUUUGCAUAUAUACUUAUUUAAUAUAUAACACAUAGUACUUUGAACAUUGGCGGUAAGUAUUUGUUUUAAUAGUUUUUUAUCAUUUUUGUACAUUGAGUAAAUAAUUCCCAAACAAAGUUAUGACAUGUGUAUGUGUAUUUCAAACUUUUUUUGCAUAAGAAUCUAGUACUAUCCAUCUUGUACACAAUCUUUUGAUGAGGUCGAAUAGUAAUUUUCUCCAGCCGUAUCCAAGGUUAAAAUAAAUGUCGUUAGACUGUUUAACUAAAUAAGAGUUAUCAUUAUUUGAAUCAAAUGGUACGGCAUUGUGUAGGUAAGAUACAAAAACAAAUCUAGAAAAGCACCAAACAUAAUACGAUCCUAAGCAGCAAAGUACUUAAAGAGAUUAUGUGUUAUUUAUAGCUAACAAAAACUAAAAAUCAAAAUUGAUCAUGUAUACCCUUGUCCCAUAAAAUGCCACAUUAAAUCUGUAUUUAAGGAUUAAUUGUGUCACUCCACUUUUCCGACUUCCUGAGGAUAUAACAAGCAAUUUGUGUGAAAAAAAAAAUAAUCAUUAAAAGCGUAUUUUGUUUUUCGAUAGCAUAUACCAAAUAAUAAAAUGACAUAUUGAGAAUAGGAAUUAAAAGUGGCAGAAGAAUAAAAAUCAAAAUCUAAACAAAAUCUAAUCUCUUUUCACUUUUUCUGUAAAAGCUACAAGAAUCAGGGUGAAGAAAGGUUCGAAUUGAACUGGAAAUGAAAUUUUAAAAACAGAAAACCUAGUUAUCUUUCUUAUAUAUAGCAAACAUAUAAAUGUAAACAACACAUUGUAAUCAGCAUGAAUUGAGCUAUUAUCUGACACCAAAAUUGGCAUAUAAAGCAGGAGGUGAUUGUUUUUCUAUCGAAAUUUGUGCAUUUCAGGUGGUAAAACCUUCAUUUAUCAGGCAACAUUUUUUUGUAUUGUAUUUGUAUUUCGUUUGUACAUACUGAAAUGCAUUUUCAUAAAUAUGUAUUUAAUAACUUUUUUCUAGAUACCCUUCCAUAAAUUGAAACCAUUAAAAAAUU